AUUGAACGCUGGCGGCAGGCCUAACACAUGCAAGUCGAGCGGAUGAUGGUAGCUUGCUACCUGAUUCAGCGGCGGACGGGUGAGUAAUGCCUAGGAAUCUGCCUGGUAGUGGGGGACAACGUUUCGAAAGGAACGCUAAUACCGUAUACGUCCUACGGGAGAAAGUGGGGGAUCUUCGGACCUCACGCUAACAGAUGAGCCUAGGUACGAUUAGCUAGUUGGUGAGGUAAAGGCUCACCAAGGCGACGAUCGUUAACUGGUCUGAGAGGAUGAUCAGUCACACUGGAACUGAGACACGGUCCAGACUCCUACGGGAGGCAGCAGUGGGGAAUAUUGGACAAUGGGCGAAAGCCUGAUCCAGCCAUGCCGCGUGUGUGAAGAAGGUCUUCGGAUUGUAAAGCACUUUAAGUUGGGAGGAAGGGCAGUAAGUUAAUACCUUGCUGUUUUGACGUUACCGACAGAAUAAGCACCGGCUAACUUCGUGCCAGCAGCCGCCGUAACAC
rnacentral:rRNA from 1 species